GACGAACGCUGGCGGCAUGCCUAAUACAUGCAAGUCGAGCGAACGGAUGAAGUGCUUGCACUUCUGACGUUAGCGGCGAACGGGUGAGUAACACGUAAGGAAUCUACCUAUAAGCGGGGGAUAACAUUCGGAAACGGGUGCUAAUACCGCAUAAUAUCUUCUUCCGCAUGGAAGAAGAUUGAAAGACGGCUCUGCUGUCACUUAUAGAUGACCUUGCGGUGCAUUAGUUAGUUGGUGGGGUAAUGGCCUACCAAGACGAUGAUGCAUAGCCGACCUGAGAGGGUGAUCGGCCACAUUGGGACUGAGACACGGCCCAAACUCCUACGGGAGUCAGCAGUAGGGAAUCUUCCGCAAUGGGCGAAAGCCUGACGGAGCAAUGCCGCGUGAGUGAAGAAGGCCUUCGGGUCGUAAAACUCUGUCAUAAGAGAAGAACAAAUUGUAGAGUAACUGCUACAGUCUUGACGGUAUCUUAUCAGAAAGCCACGGCUAACUAUGUGCCAGCCGCCGCGGUAA
rnacentral:rRNA from 1 species